rnacentral:rRNA from 1 species
ACGCGAGGAACCUUACCAGGUCUUGACAUCCUCUGACACUCCUAGAGAUAGGACGUUCCCCUUCGGGGGACAGAGUGACAGGUGGUGCAUGGUUGUCGUCAGCUCGUGUCGUGAGAUGUUGGGUUAAGUCCCGCAACGAGCGCAACCCUUGAUCUUAGUUGCCAGCAUUAAGUUGGGCGCUCUAAGGUGACUGCCGGUGACAAACCGGAGGAAGGUGGGGAUGACGUCAAAUCAUCAUGCCCCUUAUGACCUGGGCUACACACGUGCUACAAUGGAUGGUACAAAGGGCAGCAAAACCGCGAGGUCGAGCAAAUCCCAUAAAACCAUUCUCAGUUCGGAUUGUAGGCUGCAACUCGCCUACAUGAAGCUGGAAUCGCUAGUAAUCGCGGAUCAGCAUGCCGCGGUGAAUACGUUCCCGGGCCUUGCACUCACCGCCCGU